rnacentral:rRNA from 1 species
AUUGAACGCUGGCGGCAGGCCUAACACAUGCAAGUCGAACGGUAACAGGAAACAGCUUGCUGUUUCGCUGACGAGUGGCGGACGGGUGAGUAAUGUCUGGGAAACUGCCUGAUGGAGGGGGAUAACUACUGGAAACGGUAGCUAAUACCGCAUAACGUCGCAAGACCAAAGAGGGGGACCUUCGGGCCUCUUGCCAUCGGAUGUGCCCAGAUGGGAUUAGCUAGUAGGUGGGGUAACGGCUCACCUAGGCGACGAUCCCUAGCUGGUCUGAGAGGAAGACCAGCCACACUGGAACUGAGACACGGUCCAGACUCCUACGGGAGGCAGCAGUGGGGAAUAUUGCACAAUGGGCGCAAGCCUGAUGCAGCCAUGCCGCGUGUAUGAAGAAGGCCUUCGGGUUGUAAAGUACUUUCAGCGGGGAGGAAGGGAGUAAAGUUAAUACCUUUACUCAUUGACGUUACCCGCAGAAGAAGCACCGGCUAACUCCGUG